AAAGAAAGUAAGCAAGGGCGCAUGGCGGAUGCCUUGGCUCUCGGAGGCGAUGAAGGACGUGAUAAGCUGCGAUAAGCUUCGGGCAGGUGCAAAUAACCUUUGAUCCGAAGAUUUCCGAAUGGGACAACCCGUCAUUCUGAAGGAAUGACAUCUUGCAUAGCAAGAGGCUAACGCAGGGAACUGAAACAUCUUAGUACCUGUAGGAAAAGAAAAUAAUAAUGAUUCCCCUAGUAGUGGCGAGCGAACGGGGAUUAGCCCAAACCAAUGUUGUUACGGCAAUAUUGGGGUUGUAGGACCACGAUGUCGCAAGAAGUUUAGUGAGAAGAACCCUUUGGAAAAUGGGACCAUAGACGGUGAUAGUCCGGUAUUCGAAGCUAAAUGAAGCGUAGUGGUAUCCUGAGUAGCGCGGGACACGAGGAAUCUUGCGUGAAUCUGCCGGGACCAUCCGGUAAGGCUAAAUACUCCCGAGAGACCGAUAGCGAACCAGUACUGUGAAGGAAAGGUGAAAAGCACUUCGAAUAGAAGAGUGAAAUAGUCCCUGAAACCGUGCGCCUACAAGCGGUCGGAGCUGCUUCAGCAGUGACGGCGUGCCUUUUGCAUAAUGAACCUACGAGUUACUUUUUCCGGCAAGGUUAAGGAUCUUGAGAUCCGCAGCCGAAGCGAAAGCGAGUCUUAAUAGGGCGAUUAGUCGGAAGGAGUAGACGCGAAACCAAGUGAUCUACCCUUGGUCAGGUUGAAGGUUAGGUAACACUAACUGGAGGACCGAACCGAUAAGCGUUGAAAAGCUUCCGGAUGAACUGAGGGUGGGGGUGAAAGGCUAAUCAAACUUGGAGAUAGCUCGUACUCCCCGAAAUGCAUUUAGGUGCAGCCUUGGGAAUUACUACUGUGAGGUAGAGCGACUGAUAAGAUGCGAGGGCUUCACCGCCUAUCAAGUCUUGAUAAACUCCGAAUGCGCAGUAGUUCGAUCCCAGGAGUGAGGGCAUGGGUGCUAAGGUCCAUGUCCUAAAGGAGAAGAAUCCAGACCAUCAGCUAAGGUCCCGAAAUAAUUGCUAAGUUGAACUAACGAAGUCAGAUUGCUAAGACAGCUAGGAUGUUGGCUUGGAAGCAGCCAUUCAUUUAAAGAGUGCGUAACAGCUCACUAGUCGAGGAGUUUGGCGUGGAUAAUAAUCGGGCAUUAAGCAAUUUACCGAAGCUAUGGGAUGUUAACUAAACACUAACAUCGGUAGGGGAGCAUUCCACUCUGCGUCGAAGGUGAAGCGUGAGCUUUGCUGGAGCGUGUGGAAAAGCAAAUGUAGGUAUAAGUAACGAUAAAGGGGGUGAGAAACCCCCUCGCCGAAAGACUAAGGUUUCCUGAUCAACGCUAAUCGGAUCAGGGUUAGUCGGGUCCUAAGGCUCAGCCGAACGGUGAGGCCGAUGGCAGAACAGGUUAAUAUUCCUGUACUACCUUAAGGAGUGACGUGGAGACGGAGGAGUGACAACGCCGCGGACUGACGGAAUAGUCCGUUGAAGGGUGUAGAUGUUGAUUAUCCCAGGCAAAUCCGGGAUAAGAGUCGAACCUGAUAGUAUACCAAAUUCUUCGGAAUAAGGUAAUAGUGCGUGUAAGCAUACUCCCAAGAAAAUCCGCUAAACUUAAUCUUUAAGGUACCCGUACCGCAAACGGACACACGUAGUCGGGUUGAAUAUACUAAGGCGCUUGAGUGAUUCACGGUUAAGGAACUAGGCAAAUUGACCCUGUAACUUCGGGAUAAAGGGUCCCAACGAGAGUUGGGCGCAGAGAAUAGGUCCAGGCAACUGUUUAACAAAAANGAACUGAGGGUGGGGGUGAAAGGCUAAUCAAACUUGGAGAUAGCUCGUACUCCCCGAAAUGCAUUUAGGUGCAGCCUUGGGAAUUACUACUGUGAGGUAGAGCGACUGAUAAGAUGCGAGGGCUUCACCGCCUAUCAAGUCUUGAUAAACUCCGAAUGCGCAGUAGUUCGAUCCCAGGAGUGAGGGCAUGGGUGCUAAGGUCCAUGUCCUAAAGGAGAAGAAUCCAGACCAUCAGCUAAGGUCCCGAAAUAAUUGCUAAGUUGAACUAACGAAGUCAGAUUGCUAAGACAGCUAGGAUGUUGGCUUGGAAGCAGCCAUUCAUUUAAAGAGUGCGUAACAGCUCACUAGUCGAGGAGUUUGGCGUGGAUAAUAAUCGGGCAUUAAGCAAUUUACCGAAGCUAUGGGAUGUUAACUAAACACUAACAUCGGUAGGGGAGCAUUCCACUCUGCGUCGAAGGUGAAGCGUGAGCUUUGCUGGAGCGUGUGGAAAAGCAAAUGUAGGUAUAAGUAACGAUAAAGGGGGUGAGAAACCCCCUCGCCGAAAGACUAAGGUUUCCUGAUCAACGCUAAUCGGAUCAGGGUUAGUCGGGUCCUAAGGCUCAGCCGAACGGUGAGGCCGAUGGCAGAACAGGUUAAUAUUCCUGUACUACCUUAAGGAGUGACGUGGAGACGGAGGAGUGACAACGCCGCGGACUGACGGAAUAGUCCGUUGAAGGGUGUAGAUGUUGAUUAUCCCAGGCAAAUCCGGGAUAAGAGUCGAACCUGAUAGUAUACCAAAUUCUUCGGAAUAAGGUAAUAGUGCGUGUAAGCAUACUCCCAAGAAAAUCCGCUAAACUUAAUCUUUAAGGUACCCGUACCGCAAACGGACACACGUAGUCGGGUUGAAUAUACUAAGGCGCUUGAGUNGGUUAAGGAUCUUGAGAUCCGCAGCCGAAGCGAAAGCGAGUCUUAAUAGGGCGAUUAGUCGGAAGGAGUAGACGCGAAACCAAGUGAUCUACCCUUGGUCAGGUUGAAGGUUAGGUAACACUAACUGGAGGACCGAACCGAUAAGCGUUGAAAAGCUUCCGGAUGAACUGAGGGUGGGGGUGAAAGGCUAAUCAAACUUGGAGAUAGCUCGUACUCCCCGAAAUGCAUUUAGGUGCAGCCUUGGGAAUUACUACUGUGAGGUAGAGCGACUGAUAAGAUGCGAGGGCUUCACCGCCUAUCAAGUCUUGAUAAACUCCGAAUGCGCAGUAGUUCGAUCCCAGGAGUGAGGGCAUGGGUGCUAAGGUCCAUGUCCUAAAGGAGAAGAAUCCAGACCAUCAGCUAAGGUCCCGAAAUAAUUGCUAAGUUGAACUAACGAAGUCAGAUUGCUAAGACAGCUAGGAUGUUGGCUUGGAAGCAGCCAUUCAUUUAAAGAGUGCGUAACAGCUCACUAGUCGAGGAGUUUGGCGUGGAUAAUAAUCGGGCAUUAAGCAAUUUACCGAAGCUAUGGGAUGUUAACUAAACACUAACAUCGGUAGGGGAGCAUUCCACUCUGCGUCGAAGGUGAAGCGUGAGCUUUGCUGGAGCGUGUGGAAAAGCAAAUGUAGGUAUAAGUAACGAUAAAGGGGGUGAGAAACCCCCUCGCCGAAAGACUAAGGUUUCCUGAUCAACGCUAAUCGGAUCAGGGUUAGUCGGGUCCUAAGGCUCAGCCGAACGGUGAGGCCGAUGGCAGAACAGGUUAAUAUUCCUGUACUACCUUAAGGAGUGACGUGGAGACGGAGGAGUGACAACGCCGCGGACUGACGGAAUAGUCCGUUGAAGGGUGUAGAUGUUGAUUAUCCCAGGCAAAUCCGGGAUAAGAGUCGAACCUGAUAGUAUACCAAAUUCUUCGGAAUAAGGUAAUAGUGCGUGUAAGCAUACUCCCAAGAAAAUCCGCUAAACUUAAUCUUUAAGGUACCCGUACCGCAAACGGACACACGUAGUCGGGUUGAAUAUACUAAGGCGCUUGAGUGAUUCACGGUUAAGGAACUAGGCAAAUUGACCCUGUAACUUCGGGAUAAAGGGUCCCAACGAGAGUUGGGCGCAGAGAAUAGGUCCAGGCAACUGUUUAACAAAAACACAGGGCUGUGCUAAAUUGAAAGAUUACGUAUACAGCCUGACACCUGCCCGGUGCUGGAAGGUUAAGAGGAGAUGUCAUCGCAAGAGAAGCAUUGAAUUGAAGCCCCAGUAAACGGCGGCCGUAACUAUAACGGUCCUAAGGUAGCGAAAUUCCUUGUCGGGUAAGUUCCGACCUGCACGAAUGGUGUAAUGAUCUGGACACUGUCUCAACCGUGAGCUCAGUGAAAUUGUAGUAUCGGUGAAGAUGCCGAUUACCCGCGAUGGGACGAAAAGACCCCGUGAACCUUUACUAUAGCUUAACAUUGAAUUUGGGUAAUUGAUGUGUAGGAUAGGCCGGAGACUUUGAAGCAGGUACGCCAGUAUUUGUGGAGUCGCUGUUGAAAUACGGCCCUUUGAUUAUUUGAGUUCUAACUCGUAGAUACGAGGACACUGUUUGGUGGGUAGUUUGACUGGGGUGGUCGCCUCCAAAAGUGUAACGGAGGCUUCUAAAGGUGCCCUCAGGACGAUUGGUAACCGUCCGUAGAGUGUAAUGGCAUAAGGGCGCUUGACUGGGAGACAGACAAGUCGAUCAGGUAGGAAACUAGAGCAUAGUGAUCCGGUGUUUCCGUAUGGAAGGGACAUCGCUCAAAGGAUAAAAGGUACUCCGGGGAUAACAGGCUGAUCCCUCCCAAGAGCUCAUAUCGACGGAGGGGUUUGGCACCUCGAUGUCGGCUCGUCACAUCCUGGGGCUGGAGAAGGUCCCAAGGGUUGGGCUGUUCGCCCAUUAAAGUGGCACGCGAGCUGGGUUCAGAACGUCGUGAGACAGUUCGGUCUCUAUCUAUCGUGGGCGUAUGAAAUUUGCGUGGCUCUGACACUAGUACGAGAGGACCGUGUUGGACUGACCGCUGGUUUACCAGUUGUGCCGCCAGGUGCAUUGCUGGGUAUCUAAGUCGGGAUUGGAUAAGUGCUGAAAGCAUCUAAGUACGAAGCCAGCCACAAGAUUAGAUUUCUUAGGGUCGUCAAAGACGAUGACGUUGAUAGGAUGCAGGUGUAAAGGUGGUAACAUCAAAGCCGAGCAUUACUAAUUGCCCGUUCACUUUCUUU
rnacentral:rRNA from 1 species